GAUGAACGCUGGCGGCGUGCCUAACACAUGCAAGUCGAGCGAGGGUUUGCUCAGUAUUGAGUAUUCUAAGUCUAGAAUGUUCAAUUCUGAGCAAAACCAAGCGGCGGACGGGUGAGUAACGCGUGGGUAACCUGCCCUAUACACAUGGAUAACAUACUGAAAAGUUUACUAAUACAUGAUAAUAUAUAUUUGUGGCAUCGCAGAUAUAUCAAAGUGUUAGCGGUAUAGGAUGGACCCGCGUCUGAUUAGCUAGUUGGUGAGAUAACUGCCCACCAAGGCGACGAUCAGUAGCCGACCUGAGAGGGUGAUCGGCCACAUUGGAACUGAGACACGGUCCAAACUCCUACGGGAGGCAGCAGUGGGGAAUAUUGCACAAUGGGCGAAAGCCUGAUGCAGCAACGCCGCGUGAACGAUGAAGGUCUUCGGAUCGUAAAGUUCUGUUGCAGGGGAAGAUAAUGACGGUACCCUGUGAGGAAGCCCC
rnacentral:rRNA from 1 species